GGUAGUCCACGCUGUAAACGAUGGACACUAGGUGUGGGGGGAGUCGAACCCCUCUGUGCCGCAGCCAACGCGUUAAGUGUCCCGCCUGGGGAGUACGGCCGCAAGGCUAAAACUCAAAAGAAUUGACGGGGCCCGCACAAGCGGUGGAGCAUGUGGUUUAAUUCGACGCAACGCGAAGAACCUUACCUGGGCUCGAACGGCUUUGGCAAGCUUUUGGAAACAGAGGCCCUCCCGCAAGGGACUGAAGUCGAGGUGCUGCAUGGCUGUCGUCAGCUCGUGUCGUGAGAUGUUGGGUUAAG
rnacentral:rRNA from 1 species